rnacentral:ncRNA from 1 species
GGUAGUAGCAAAUACUCAAAUGAGAACUUUGAGAACUGAAGUGGGGAAAGAUUUCAUGUGAACAGCACUUGGACAUGAGUUAGUUGAUUCUAAGACAUAGAAUAGUUCUGUUUGAAAGUGCACCCUAGUGCAUUAUUUGUUGAAAGGGAAGCCAGUUAAUAUUCCAGCAUCUGGAUGUGGAUUCUUCAUGGCAAUGUAACUGAAUAUGGAGAUGUUGGCAGGAGUUCUGGAAAGAGUUCUCUUUUCUUCUUGAUGACCUAUCACUCUGAAAUUGGUUUGUCCAGAGCUAGAGUUUCAUGACCAGCAGAGCUCUGCAUCUUUGCAGGGUCCAGUGCACUUCUGACAAUUCUUGAAAAUCUGCAGGAAGAAAUAGUUUUCAUGCCAGGUUGUACUCAUAACUACAGCAGAUCUCCAAGAUAAAAAGUCUCUAGUU